AAUCCGUGAUGUGGGCGGCAUCUCAAAAGAUCUUUAAAUCUCUCCAUGCAUCGUACAUGCUUUCAUCGUAUUUGCACAAAAGAAGAUAUGUCAUUUCUAAGUUU